AUCUACGGCCAUAUCACGUUGAAAUCUACGGUUCUCGUCCGAUCACCGAAGUUAAGCAACAUCGAGCCCGGUUAGUACUUGGAUGGGUGACCGCCUGGGAAUACCGGGUGCUGUAGGCU
rfam:Helobdella robusta unplaced genomic scaffold HELROscaffold_93, whole genome shotgun sequence.